CAUUUUCUGGGUGAGGAAAAAUUCCACUUUUAUAAUAGAAAUGGUAUAAGGACUGAAAACUUGCACUGUUUGUCGACAUUCUGACCUACUGCAGACUAAUACACUGCCUAGAAACCAGCUUCUAUUGCUAUUACUAGGUUUUGUUUCAAUAACAUAUAACAGAUAACACAAAAAGAAAGAGGGUGAUGGUCAUCUGAAGAUGUCCACACAUGGAAAAGAAAAAAACAGCUGAACUUAUUUAAUUGAUUUCACUAAAUAGGAUCCAAAUCCAGAUGUUGUCUGUAGCACACCAACAUGCAUGUAAACAGACGUGCUCAAACUGAACUUCUGUCAGUGAAAUAGAAAUGAUGCUGGAAUUUUGAUGUUCAUGUAGAAAUAUAGAUGAACAGCACUGUUGUUUUGUUUACUUUAUGAAAUUGCUUUGUACAUUUGUGUAAAAACUAUUUUCACUAUAUCCUUAAAUGUGUGAAGUUUAUGACUCUUGUCUGUUUAUAGAGAUUCCUGUGAGGUGAGAAUGCUCCUGUUAAAAAGAACACCACUAUUUAUGGUGUGUGUGUGUGUGUGUGUGUGUGUGUGUGUGUGUGUGUGUGUGUGUGUGUGUGUGAUAGACCUUUGACAUGUUUUCCUUCACUCUGCUUCUAUCUUCCCAUUUAGGAUAAAUGUGUUUGCCUUAACUAAUAAGCCAACUGAAAUAUGCAUCAGUCUACUUUUAUAUAAGACCCGCUUGAAUGCCAUAACUGCCUGUACUUUAAAAUGUACAAUUUACUGGUGAGAUGGUUAUUUAGCAACUGUUUUGUUUACUGAAAUAUUUUAUAAAAUAUGGAUACUGUUUGUUAAAAAUAAAAAUGACCUUUCUUGAAGACA